rnacentral:ribozyme from 1 species
GGACUGAAAGAAAGAAAUAAAGAUUGGUUGGCUGACAUCAGAACCCAUGCAAGCAAACGACACAGCUAGAAUGGGGAGAGAGAGAGCUUAAUUCGUUCGUUCGUUCUUCCGUGUCGUUGCUGUUUGUCCCCUUUUUCUCUUUUUUACCCUUCUCUGUCCUUUUCUCUUUCUUCUUAUCU